rnacentral:rRNA from 1 species
UACGUAGGUGGCGAGCGUUGUCCGGAAUUACUGGGUGUAAAGCGCGUGUAGGCGGGAGGACAAGUCUGCUGUGAAAUCGCCCGGCUCAACUGGGCGGGGUCGGUGGAAACUGGUCACCUGGAGGACGGUAGAGGCGAGUGGAAUUCCCGGUGUAGUGGUGAAAUGCGUAGAGAUCGGGAGGAACACCAGUGGCGAAGGCGGCUCGCUGGGCCGGACCUGACGCUGAGACGCGAAGGCGUGGGGAGCGAACGGG